rnacentral:rRNA from 1 species
AUUGAACGCUGGCGGCAGGCCUAACACAUGCAAGUCGAGCGAGCGGCGGACGGGAGAGUAAUGUAUGGGGACUGCCCGAUAGCGGGGGAUAACUACUGGAAACGGUAGCUAAUACCGCAUACUAUCGGAUAACCCAUAUGGGAUUAGCUAGUAGGUGAGGUAAUGGCUCACCUAGGCGACGAUCCCUAGCUGGUCUGAGAGGAGGAUCAGCCACACUGGGACUGAGACACGGUCCAGACUCUUACGGAGGCAGCAGUGGGGAAUAUUGCACAAUGGGCGCAAGCCUGAUGCAGCCAUGCCGCGUGUAUGAAGAAGGCCCUAGGGUUGUAAAGCACUGUUAGUAGGGAAGCGUUACCGACACAAGAAGCAACGGCUAACUCCGUGCCAGCAGCCGCGGUAAUUC